GAGCCGUGGCUCGACACGGCAGCGAAUUCCUGAUCCGUGGAUUACUGUGGGCUAGCGUCGUCAAUGAGGUAGAGUAAAUGAAGAUGGAUGGUAGGUGCGUCUGGAUAGGUCAUUACUCGGGCGCUCGUCGGUGGCCUUCUAUCGGGGUCCAUAGGCGGAGUCAGUGGCGGAGAUUCUGGGGUUCCUAGGCGGAGUCCUUGGCGGCGAUUCAGGCAUUCCUAAAUCUAUCUGCCGGCGGCCAUGGAGUUCUUCAUGCAGCCGUGCAACAGUAGAACUUUGAUUGAAGAGAUGACAGACAGUGAUUUGCCAAUGCAACCAGCUCAUCACACUGUUCGUUCGCCGGUCACGGACGGAUUAGCAGCCGCUAAUGUUCCAAGUGGGGGGGGGGGGGGGGGGGGGGCAGAUCUGUGCGGAGUCGGCCAUAGCACAGGCAGGAAGUGGAGACAAGCCACAGGCUUCAGAAAACUCAAUCGAUCAGAUUGAUCCGAAGACACCUGAGUGGACACGCAGAAUUGGGACAGAAGUAAAAUUAGUAAACUAGUUGGAAAUGCGAUGGCUCGAUGGUCGUAGCUUGUAUGAACCUAGCAACCAACCAUCAGCUCGCAGGAAUGGUAGUCCGCCACCCGGGGACGACACCGAAUUGUUGGCUGCAGCAGUGCAGGGAUCUUCAACAUCAGCAGCUUCGGCCAUGGGUCUCCAAACAGCGACCCAUGCACUCGGUCCAGUCGACUUUGCGCAGCAAAUUCACAGGCGAUAUCCAAUGCAUCGGAUGUCAUCUCCAUCUUACUGAAGGAGCAGAUUGCAAGGUGCCAACGUGAAAUCAAUACUGCCCGCUUUAAUGUGCAAGCCGAUAUGAUUAAGUUCGUAGACAAACUAAUGGAUGCGAUUAGCAAGAGGUGCAUAUGUUGCACUGCAAGGGGUUUUACCGACUGCCCAGCUAGAGCUGUUGAUCUGAACAUUGGUGCCCAACAUGUCAGCAUGCUCUGCUGGCACCUGCUGGCACCUCAACUGUACGGAGACUCCAUGAGGAAACAACCCCCUGCCAGCAGGAGAAGAGGCAGCGGACCGAUGAAGGUUUGUUGUCUAUAAUUACCGAGCAAAUUUUAUCAUUUGUGAAGCAGACCCUUAAGGCAAUUAGUGAGCUCUUCAUCGACCUCCCAAAUGAUGGGAGCACUACUGUGUUCGGUGCGAGGAAAAAAGAGCUUCCUGGCCGAAAAUAUGUACACAGGCCUGGGUUCCAAAGAGAUCCGUGGACUAGGGGGGUCAUUCCGUAUCCCCCUCAGCCUGCUGUGUCGCAACUUCUAUCUGACUUUUCACCUCCGCGCCUCGCAAACAUCUUACCAGCAACUGCCUUGUUCACGAGCAUCCAAGGUUCAUACGGAUAUCAGGUGUCACCUUGAAAGAACAACUCGCAGGCGAGGCGGCAAUUGACCAUGAGCUCUUGUCAGUUAUCCUACGAUGAUAUUCUCAGGCUGACCAAGCAGCAGAUCAAGAAUCCCCGUAUUUAUCAUGGAGGCACCCACUCGAGCCCGACUUCUCAACUCUUGUGCUGUCAGACUCCGACUAUGUUCACAGUGUGUGCAUUCAGAAGCAACUGGGAGCUGAUGAUAUCAAGUACGACAUCACCUCAUCACAGAUGGUACGAUCACUUCUUCACACCUGUGCGGCGACCCGAAGGUUGGAUGGUACUUUUCUGGGACAUGGUCAGACGGAUGAUGACCGUCAUCGAUCCGAUGUACUCAAAGAAAUUUCCAAAACCUCCCACACAGCUUCGAGACGAAGCAAUAGCUUGGAAUCUAAAUGCUCGGUGUUGGCAAGUGCCACGUCUCCACUCCUCUGGUUCUCCUAAUCUAGCUCUCCGGUGAUUGUAAGCUGCGGCCUGAUGAGGCACUGCAGCCGGAUCUGCAGCAAUCUGGUUGCUCAGCUCAGCCUGGUACUCCUCGCUGGAACGCAUGUAUCCACACAGCCCCUUCUGCAAAAAUUAGAAUGAAUUAAGAGAUGCAGAAAGAUUAGAAAGCAUGAAUCCAGCUGACCAGCAAGAAAUCCACGAAAAAACGAUUUUGUGUAUAAAACUUUCAUCCCUAUUGACACACUUGUAGAAUCGACGACCGCCGUUUACACCGCUCCGAGCAACCCAAGUGUACACCCGGUCCUUGAAGUCCCUGCAGGGCACUAGAGGCAAGAUCUCGUCAUGGCCUGCGGUGGAGGAAGAUGAGGACAUGCCUAAGAAGCGUUGGAGCUAACAAUGGCUGGAAUCAGAAUCUGGUUGGAUCUGGGAGAGAGAUCGGGUGGAUGGGUGGACUUAUGUAGACGAGGAACGUGACGGAGGAGGUUGGUAGGUCCAACGGGUGGAUGCAUUGAAUGUAAUUGACGGCGUUAGCCCAGAAUCUCAGUCGACGCGGCUCAUAACGUGCAGGUAUUCCUGGUCCGCGUCAAGCGUUCCUGACGGCAUAACAAAUGGGCUGGCACACAUGUGGGCCAAUGCGUUAAUAAUUACAACAUAAUCCUGGAUAACAUCUAGGCCCACACUGACAGCAGCGCACAUCGCGAGAUAUUCAUGCGGUACAGAUUCCGGGACUCUGUGAGCUCGGGCUCACAUUAGCACAUUCGUCCUUUUACUCGUUUUUUUGCAGCCGUAUCUUUUUAGGACUCUAAACCCCACUUAUUUCAUCUGGACCGUAGGCUUGAGAUCUGAAGGUUAAAUUUACGUGAUUAAUGAGAAUUAACGUGGAACCUCCGUUGGUGCUUCUGAUUAGUAAAUAUAAGAUAAGAUAUAAGAUAUAAGAUGCUAUGGACAGACUUCAAAAAAAAUCUGGUACGGCGUAGUAGUAUGCGGCUCUUAGUUCUAUUUUUUUAGAACGAAGACGCUAGACGCGUCCGGCUUUAAAUUAAUAAAGCCCGCAGCAUAGUCAGUGUGAAUGUGUGAUAGUGUUGAAGUGUUGGAAUAAACCAAAAGAUCGCUAGUCUCUAGAAGCAUUUCUGCCACUCUGCCACCAAGACAUCAACACCAAUUUUGCCAUGUCUACCAAAGUAUCAAAUAAAAUGGGAGUGGCUUGGCACAUGUGUGUACCGUGAAGAUGAUCAUGAAAGGUAGAGUGUCAUUGCAAGAACCCCCUACCUGAUAUCCACUCAGUCUCUGUGCAGGGAUCCCGGGAUAGGCAACGACUACUAGACAUAGCCAAGUGUGUAUAAUCUA